AAGUCGUAACAAGGUUUCCGUAGGUGAACCUGCGGAAGGAUCAUUAUCGAUUUUUAAAGAUGUGCUGGCACUCCUUCAUUGGUUUGCAUGUGCACUCUACAAAAUCUCCUUCUCUUACCCCACUGUGCACACCCAAGUAGACAAACAGAGUUACAGAGCAAUCUGUGUAAUUCCUGAUUUGCCUAUGUUUUUAUCAAACUCCAAUAACAAUCUCAGAAUGAUUCAUAUAGUAAGCUUUUAACAAGCUGAAAUUUAAUACAACUUUCAACAAUGGAUCUCUUGGUUCUC
rnacentral:misc_RNA from 1 species